rnacentral:rRNA from 1 species
CGGCCGCGGGAAUUCGAUUAGAGUUUGAUCAUGGCUCAGAACGUACGCUGGCGGCACGCCUAAAGCAUGCAAGUCGAACGAAGUAGCAAUACUUAGUGGCAGACGGGUGAGUAACAUGUAGGUAUCUACCCUUUGGCCUGGAAUAACACGAGGAAACUUGUGCUAAUACCGGAUAAGUCUUUACGGAGAAAGCUUUAUGCACCAUUGGAUGAGCCUGCACUUGAUUAGUUUGUUGGUAGGGUAAUGGCCUACCAAGACUGUGAUCAAUAGCUGAUUUGAGAGGAUGAUCAGCCACAUUGGGACUGAGACACGGCCCAAACUCCUACGGGAGGCAGCAGUGGGGAAUCUUGCACAAUGGAGGAAACUCUGAUGCAGCGAUGCCGCGUGAGUGAAGAAGGCCCUUGGGUUGUAAAGCUCUUUCGUCGGGGAAGAAAAUGACUGUACCCGAAUAAGAAGGUCCGGCUAACUUCGUGCCAGCAGCCGCGGUAAUACGAAGGGACCUAGCGUAGUUCGGAAUUACUGGGCUUAAAGAGUUCGUAGGUGGUUGAAAAAGUUGGUGGUGAAAUCCCAGAGCUUAACUCUGGAACUGCCAUCAAAACUUUUCAGCUAGAGUUUGAUAGAGGAAAGCAGAAUUUCUAGUGUAGAGGUGAAANUUCGUAGAUAUUANAAAGAAUACCAAUUGCGAAGNCA